rnacentral:rRNA from 1 species
AAAAGGAGGGCCCGGAGGCGGGGGUAAGACGUAGGGGGCGAGCGUGGUCCGUAUGCAUUGGGGUGAAAGAGCGCGUAGGCGGCUUGGCAAGUCGUAUGUGAAAACUCCAGUCUCAACCUGGAGCCGCCAUUCGAUACUGCUAUGGCUAGAGUCCGGUAGGGGAGUGUGGAAUUCCCGGUGUAGCGGUGAAAUGCGCAGAUAUCGGGAGGAACACCGAUGGCGAAGGCAGCACUCUGGGCCGGCACUGACGCUGAGGAGCGAAAGCGUGGGGAGCGAACAGGAUUAGAUACCCUUGUAGUC